GCUGUGCAUUCUUUUGUUAUAGACCUCAAAUCUUCUUACUGGGAUGUGGUUUUUCAGGGCUGUUAGAGAUUGGAUUAUUGAACUGGAGUGCACAAAGAGAAUUACAAAAAAAAUAGCUUUCAUUGCUGCUGUCUUAUAUGGUUGAAGUCGUUGAAAUAGGUGAGGCCGUUUGAUUUUUUUACAAUAAAGGAUUGAUCAAAGACUUGGAAUGCUUGCUGCUGCUGCUGGAAUUUUACUUCUUUGUUCUACUUAUUAGAGGGAAGGUCUAUUUUUAUCAACUUAGUUCUUUUAGAUUCUUUUGACUGCAUUUAAGUGAAGGACUGUGGGUUUUUUUUGCCAAAAAGAACAGAAUGGAGAGAAGCUAGCAUUUUUUUUUCCUUUUCUUAUGUUGGUCAAGAUGAUUGAUUGAUGCUGUUGUUGUGUUGUAUUUGUUUAUACAUAGGGUUUUGAUUGAAAAAAUAAUAAUAGAAGAAUGGGAGAAGGAAGAGCUAGCAAAAGCUACUGAGAGAGUUGGUUUGACCACUGUGUGUUUUGAUUUUAUUUUUUUCCAUGUGAAUGCCAGUAAAGAUUUUUGUUAAAAUUGCCAGGGAAGAGGAGCUUAGGUUGCAGAGACGAGGAAAGAGGCUUUGCAUUGGGUUAGGGACUUUGAGAGAUUGUCUGGGGCUUUUUCUUUCACCUUCUUUUCCAAGCAUAGGUUUCUUUUUUCUUUUAGUUUUUUUUGCAUGUGCAUUCACUGGUUUUUCUCUCUCAUUUGGUUUCUGCUGGUGUGCUUUUCCUACAGAGUAAUUUCCUUUCAUUUCAUGUUUUCUCCUGUUGUCUCUGUGGUUCUUAAGUCUUUCCUCCGAUGUUUAUUGUUUAUGUGCUGGGGUUUUCAGUUCUGCUUCUCUGUUCUUUAGAGGAUCCAUUGCCUCUGUGUGUUUCUGCUGAAGGGUCAUUGUUGGGGCUUGAGGACCAUUCCUGGGUUGCUUUUCCCAGGUUUGUUAGUCUUUAUUUGUCUUCUCUGCUCCCGUUGUUAUUAGUUCUUGAGUUGUUGUCUACAUUUAGGCUUUUUUUUCAUCUGGUUGUUGUUCUUGGUUGCAUUUUACUUAUCAUGUUCUUAUUGUCUUAUUUUAUUCACAUCUACUUGAUUAAUUUCAGUUGCUUGUUCAACCAUAGAUAGUGGUGUUUUCCUUUAUUGUGAUAAAAUGUACAAACCAUAACAAUAAUAUCAAUCUUAAUAAAUCCACUCUGACUUAACCCAUUGAACUCCUCUUGGAUCCACUUCAUUUUAAGUCUUAGAAUAGACUAAAUGAACAUUUUUAAUGGAUUAUUUGAUGUUGUGGUCAAGAUCACAUCAAUUUUCAAUGUAACUAUUGAUGUAAUUAUUCUAGCUAUACUAGUAUCAUACAUAGAAUUAGAAUAAUCAUAGUGGGAAUCAUCACUUCUAGACCCUUUAUUUAAAUAACUAGAAUUCCAAUAACUAGAAAAUUCUUUUGUCUAAUUCAAUAAAAAAAGAAUGAUUAUUGUCAAUCCCAAAAACUUGAUUUUUAAUAUCAAAAUAUAUGGAAUUACCAUUUUUUUUUUAUUAUCCCUACCUAAAACUAAAAAUGUGGCAUCCACAUUUAAAUUCCAAAUGUCCCUAACGCUGACUAGAUGAUUAACAUUAUUACUGUCACUAUGACUCCAAUUAUAGGUGUUUUUUUCAAUAUCAUUUAGAAAAGUCUUCACUUACACUGAUAUUUUCAAGAGGACCAAGAUUUACUUAGCGUACACCUGCAUUCUAACUCCACGUUACAAAACAUUGAAUUGAACCAACAUUUUUUUAUUUAGCUUUCUUACUGUUAUUUACAUCAAAAUAAAUUGAUGUAUAGUCAUUCAAUGAAAAAUCAUUUGAAUAUUUCAUUUCCUCCCAGAAUAAGCAUAUAAUCCAAUCACUAUGUUGAGCUUGAAGCUAUGGUUUAUAUAACUACCAAGAUAGAGAGGCAGUUGAAGAGAACAUUUCAUGAAAGUAAUUCAAGUUCCUUUUGAGCUUAAAGGCUGAAUUAUAGGGGAGAGAGGACUGCCAUAUCAAAGCUGAAUAUUGUAGGCAACAAUGAUCAUCUGAAGCUUGGAGAAAAGAUUUGGCCACUGAAACAAAAGGUAAAGUCAAGACCUCAUUUAAUCAUAAUCAUGAUAUUAAGUGUUUUAGGUGUUUAGAGAGGACAUAUAGCUUUCAAUAUCCAAACAAAAGGAUUAUAGUUAUGAGGAAGUAUGGAGAGAUUGAAUCCGAAAGUGGGGGAAGGAUGCCACCAUUUGGGGACUGUAGUGAUGUCAAGUAUCCAGUUGAUUGAGAUGCUUUAGUGAUUAGGAGACCAUUUAAUAUUCAUAUUAAGGAGGAUGAUGUAGAGCAACAAAUGGAGAACAUAUUCCAUACUAGAUGCCAUAUAAAUAAUAAGAUAUGUAGUAUAAUUAUUAAUAGGGGGAUUUGUGCUAAUGUUGCUAGUACUAUAUUUGUUAAAAAAUUGAAUUUUAAAACUUUUAAACAUGAAAAGCCUUAUAGAUUUCAAUGGUUAACUGAUUGUGGAGAAGUAAGAGUUAAUAAACAAAUUUUGGUUUCUUUUUUAGAUAGAAAAUAUAAUGAAGUUUUGUGUGGCAUUGUAUCUAUGCAUGCUAUUUAUUUAUUGCUAGGGAUGCCUUAAUAAUUUGAUAAAAAAAAGAAGAAGCAUGAUGAGCUUAAGAAUAAGUAUUCUUUUGAGAAGAAUGAGAAGAUAUUCACACACGUACCAUAGUCCCCUAGACAAGUGUAUGAAGACCAAUUAACGUUGAAAGGAGAAAGUGAAGCUGAAGAAAAAGAUCAACCAUGUGAAUGGGAAAGAGUGAAAAUAAAGUGAGCCAAGAGAAAAGGUUAGAUUUGGCCAAAAUUGGAAUUAAUAAGGAUUUGACCGAGAGAGGAGAGAAGAAAAUAGAAAAGAAGAAAGGAAGUUGAGAAAAGAAGAGUGUGGAAAAAAAACAUAGUUUUUAUGCAAAAGGAAGUAACAUUAAGACUGUUUAUUUUUCUGACAUGCCUAUAAUUUUACUUGUAUUUAAAGGUAUAUUUUAAUACUAAUGAACUUAAUCUUUGUAUUGUUA